AUGAGCGGGCUCAGGAACCAAGAGGAGCCGUCCGCCCUGUUCAGACGGCCCAAGCAGGGGCACGGCCCAGUCCUGCACCCCCAUGGAGCAGCUCGGUGCCAGCGCGAGGCGUUCGUUAGGAGCUCCAGGGCCAGGAGCCCGCCUGCGGCCGGCCUUCCCCGUGCUGCCUUCCCGAGUCGCCGGGGACUGUCCGAGCUCUGCGGCUUUCUCCGAGGAACAGAUGCCAGCCGGUACCCCGGGAGGCUGCGGUGUGUUUUUAAUAACUCGGGGUGGGGGGGGGUUAAUAACUCGGGGGUUCCCGGUGGCAGAAGGCUGAAAUCCGUGUCAAGAGCUCGGCUCCACAAAGGCACCCCUGGGCUGGGGCGAGGGCGCAGCUCGGGCGCUUUGUGGGUGAAGCCAGCGCGAAGUCCUCGCCUCGCUGGGGCUGAAGUCCCUUUGUCACACUGCUGGCUGCAGUGCAGUGAAAGGCUGUGCUGCAGCUCGCCUCUGCUGCCGCCUCGGAAGCUGGAGCCUGUGCCCUGCGAGCGGCAGGCACCGGGCGAGCGGCAGGCACCGGGCGAGCAGCAGGCACCGCGGGCUGCGGCCCUUACCCCCCCCCACGGCACCCCCUGGCUGCAGGCUCCGGGCUGCUGCGGGAGCAGGGCCAGCAGCACGCCCGGUGGCGGCCCGGCGAGGCAGGAGCAGGACACAGGAGCAGGAGCAGGCGCGGGCCGUGCUGCGCAGAGCGGGCCUGGAGCCGCCGUGUGCUCGCCGCCUGGUCGCGGAGGGCGGCCCCCUGCAGCCGCACGUUUGUCCCUGCCUCCCUCCGGCAGGGCUUCUCCAAGGCUCCUGCCCUUGCAUCUGCGCCUUCCCUGCCCUUCCCGCAAUAAGCGGUGGCUCCGCAGCGCAGUUUGUGCCCGCGCCGCUCCGGAGCCCCUCUCUUCUCUCCCCGUGCCUGCCUGUCCCGCUCGCCGCCUCUGGCCCCAGUGCCUCCCCGCUGACCGCGGCCGGGCUCCGGUCGCGGGCGUUCUCAGGAAGCCGCCCGGCGCCCCGAACGCAGCCCUGCUGGGACGGGGCGCCCUGCCGUGCCCCCCGGGCCGCAUCGCCGGCGCUGCCAGGAGCCUCCUCGGCCUCGGCCGGAGCAAGGGGAGCACGGAGGGAGGAAGGAGCCGCCGGAGGAAUUCCAGAGUGAAACACGACCCCGGCUUCCUGCGGCAGCGCUGGCUCCGGCCUGGGGAUUAG
ensembl:lncRNA